CCCCCCCCAAGCAGUUUUUUCC
rnacentral:miRNA from 1 species